rnacentral:rRNA from 1 species
UGGCAGGUCAGCAUACUGCCGUGAAUACGUUCCCGGGCCCUUGUACACACCGCCCGUCACACCAUGAGAGUUGGGAAUACCCGAAGCCUGUGAGCUAACUUUUAAGAGGCAGCAGUCGAAGGUAGAAUCAAUGAUUGGGGUGAAGUCGUAACAAGGUAGC